rnacentral:rRNA from 1 species
AGAGUUUGAUCAUGGCUCAGGACGAACGCUGGCGGCGUGCUUAACACAUGCAAGUCGAACGGAAAGGCCCCUGCUUGCAGGGGUACUCGAGUGGCGAACGGGUGAGUAACACGUGGGUGAUCUGCCUUGUACUUCGGGAUAAGCCUGGGAAACUGGGUCUAAUACCGGAUAGGACCAUGCUUUAGUGUGUGUGGUGGAAAGUUUUUUCGGUACAAGAUGAGCCCGCGGCCUAUCAGCUUGUUGGUGGGGUAAUGGCCUACCAAGGCGACGACGGGUAGCCGGCCUGAGAGGGUGUACGGCCACAUUGGGACUGAGACACGGCCCAGACUCCUACGGGAGGCAGCAGUGGGGAAUAUUGCACAAUGGGCGCAAGCCUGAUGCAGCGACGCCGCGUGAGGGAUGACGGCCUUCGGGUUGUAAACCUCUUUCGCUAGGGAAGAAGCCACUUUGUGGUGACGGUACCUGGAUAAGAAGCACCGGCUAACUACGUGCCAGCAGCCGCGGUAAUACGUAGGGUGCAAGCGUUGUCCGGAAUUACUGGGCGUAAAGAGCUCGUAGGUGGUUUGUCGCGUCGUCUGUGAAAUCCCGGGGCUUAACUCCGGGCGUGCAGGCGAUACGGGCAUAACUGGAGUGCUGUAGGGGAGACUGGAAUUCCUGGUGUAGCGGUGAAAUGCGCAGAUAUCAGGAGGAACACCGAUGGCGAAGGCAGGUCUCUGGGCAGUAACUGACGCUGAGGAGCGAAAGCAUGGGUAGCGAACAGGAUUAGAUACCCUGGUAGUCCAUGCCGUAAACGAUGAGUGCUAGGUGUUGGGUCCUUUCCGGGACUCAGUGCCGCAGCUAACGCAUUAAGCACUCCGCCUGGGGAGUACGACCGCAAGGUUGAAACUCAAAGGAAUUGACGG